GUUUUAUUUUAUAUAAUUGCUUCAGCUUGUUUAAAUUAAGUAGUUUUUGCAGCGAAAGAUGCACGACAAGCGUAGCAACUUCAGCGCACAGUUCACAAGGGUGAAUAAAUGGAUUUAAUGAUGAUCCUUCCGCAGGUUCACCUACGGAAA
rnacentral:misc_RNA from 1 species